rnacentral:rRNA from 1 species
GAUGAACGCUGGCGGCGUGCCUAAUACAUGCAAGUCGAGCGAAUGGAUUAAGAGCUUGCUCUUAUGAAGUUAGCGGCGGACGGGUGAGUAACACGUGGGUGACCUGCCCAUAAGACUGGGAUAACUCCGGGAAACCGGGGCUAAUACCGGAUAACAUUUUGAACCGCAUGGUUCGAAAUUGAAAGGCGGCUUCGGCUGUCACUUAUGGAUGGACCCGCGUCGCAUUAGCUAGUUGGUGAGGUAACGGCUCACCAAGGCAACGAUGCGUAGCCGAGCUGAGAGGGUGUUCGGCCACACUGGGACUGCGACCCGGCCCAGACUCCUACGGGAGGCAGCAGUAGGGAAUCUUCCGCAAUGGACGAAAGUCUGACGGAGCAACGCCGCGUGAGUGAUGAAGGCUUUCGGGUCGUAAAACUCUGUUGUUAGGGAAGAACAAGUGCUAGUUGAAUAAGCUGGCACCUUGACGGUACCUAACCAGAAAGCCACGGCUAACUACGUGCCAGCCGCCGCGGUAA